GACGAACGCUGGCGGCGUGCCUAAUACAUGCAAGUCGAACGCUUAAGGAGGAUCUUUCUUCUCUGGAUGAGUUGCGAACGGGUGAGUAACGCGUAGGUAACCUGCCUGGUAGCGGGGGAUAACUAUUGGAAACGAGAGCUAAUACCGCAUAAUAGUAGAUGUUGCAUGACAUUUGCUUAAAAGGUGCAAUUGCAUCACUACCAGAUGGACCUGCGUUGUAUUAGCUAGUUGGUGGGGUAACGGCUCACCAAGGCGACGAUACAUAGCCGGCCUGGGAGGGUGAUCGGCCACACUGGGACUGAGACACGGCCCAGACUCCUACGGGAGGCAGCAGUAGGGAAUCUUCGGCAAUGGACGGAAGUCUGACCGAGCAACGCCGCGUGAGUGAAGAAGGUUUUCGGAUCGUAAAGCUCUGUUGUAAGAGAAGAACGAGGGUGAGAGUGGAAAGUUCACACUGUGACGGUAUCUUAUCAGAAAGGGACGGCUAACUACGUG
rnacentral:rRNA from 1 species